GAUGAACGCUGGCGGCGUGCCUAAUACAUGCAAGUCGAGCGGUAAGGCCUCUUCGGAGGUACACGAGCGGCGGACGGCUGAGUAACGCGUAGGAACGUACCCCACAGUGAGGGAUAAACACCAGAAAUGGUGUCUAAUACCGCAUGUGAUCUAAGGAUUAAAGCUUCGGCGCUUUGGGAACGGCCUGCGUUCGAUUAGCUAGUUGGUGAGGUAAAAGCUUACCAAGGCGACGAUCGAUAGCUGGUCUGAGAGGAUGAUCAGCCAGACUGGGACUGAGACACGGCCCAGACUCCUACGGGAGGCAGCAGUAGGGAAUUUUCCACAAUGGGCGAAAGCCUGAUGGAGCAACGCCGCGUGCAGGAUGAAUGCCUUCGGGUUGUAAACUGCUUUUAUAUGUGACGAUUAUGACGGUAGCAUAUGAAUAAGGAUCGGCUAACUCCGUGCCAGCCGCCGCGGUAA
rnacentral:rRNA from 1 species